AGCGCUGGCCCGCAGCCAAGACAUGGCGCUGACAGGGGCUCCCGACCAUUUGGCUCUUGAUUCUUCGGGGAAAGCAGCUGUAGAGAAAUGAGAAUACUGAACACCCUCCUAACGCGCGCACACCCUCGUCCGCACGCAUUCCGGCACCCGUCGCCUCGGAGCCAGCCCAACUUGGGGAUCCAAAGGCGGUUCUGCUUCCGACCGCCGAUGAGCAGGGCAGCGUCGUCCCCCACGAGCCUCCCUGGCCCCCUGCUCCUGAUCCCCUUUCAGGAAUUUACAAACAUUUUCCCCAGAUCAAUAUCCGUAUUGAUUAUUCAUUGUGAGUGAGUCGUGUGUCUUUGGUGAUCCAGCUUGCAGAGGUAGCAGCCAAAGGCUGCUGCAGGGGAAAAAAAAAAAAAUAAAAUAACAGAAGGCGACAGGGACCCAGCUCUUGCUGGGUCUGCGGCUGUCGGCAACACCGAGAGGGAGAAGAAGAGAGAAGAGGACUUCAAAACGAAGGGUUGGGCCAGAGUGGAAGAGAAAGAGGGGCGCAACAGCAAGAGGAAGGAAGCCAGGGCCGGACGGUCUGGUCCUGGGGAUCUCGAUGGCUUGGAGGAAACCCCCAUGUUGGGUCUGCUGUGACGCACAGAUGGCAGUGGACUUCCUCGGCUCUGGGAGUGAAAAGUGACUCACAGUUUUGGUAUCUCCUACGUAAGAGCUUUGGGGGGAUUCCUUGGCUUGCUGACAGGCAAAGCAGAACUGCAGCAGCGGUGAGGUGCAGCGCACGGUGAUGCCUUCCACCUGCCUCGCCGAGGAGGAUGUGCCGUCCUUGGGUUUGGCUUGAACAGCUUGCUGCUCUCCGAUGGCACGCAGAGGGAGAAUAAUUAAAAAGGCCAGCAUCACUUACUAAGAAGCUGCCGCAAGGUUACAGAAAUGUCCUGGAGGAAGGAGGUUGAGGAAAUUCAGUUUUCCAUUGGCUGGGCUUUUGGCAAAAAUGCCAGGUGAUCAUCUUUUGCCAUUUGGACUGCCAUGUGGGAGCAAUUUUGGGAUUCCUCUUCUGUUGUCACCCAGCUGUGGCUUGAACUCUCCCUCUCAAGUGGGUAAGAAAAAUUUUAAAAAAAGAUAGAAAUCCCCAGAAGAGAGAGAUCCACCUGCAGUUUGGAAGAAAGUUAUUCCAUGGUGCCUGAAGUGACUUCAACAGAAAAAGACACUACGGCAGAUGGCAAAGGGCAGCAAGAAGGCCCCUCUUCUCCCACGACGACAUCUCACAACCGUACCAGGCUUUCCAAUUUCCAAGGUGUUCUUCACACGUAUCGUCCUGUUUAAUUCUCACUAUGGCCAGUGAUACUGGUGAGACAGAUAGGAUUUGGCUGAUUUUUACAGACGAGAGUACUCAGGCUCCAAGAGAGAACUUGCCUAAGGUUAAAAGCUAGAAAGAGACAGUCCUGGGUAAACCAGGUUUUAAUCUGAUUCCAUUUAAUUAUUCCCCAUACGUCUUCAUAAAAGAUGUCCUCUUUAGAACUCCUGACCCAGAGCUUCCUUGGCUCUCCCUCCUGCCCCCUCCCUUCCUCACUAGGAGGUUUUCAUCAGGCAGCCUGUGUCAUUUGUGCAAUUUACAAAUACUCCCUGAAUCCUAUCAGCAGUUAAGCACCGCUGCGGGGUUAUGACUGGCAAUUGGAAAAAUCCCCUUCAUUUGCACCUAUCUUCUUCCUUCCUUUGAGAGUCAAGUUUACCAAAAAACUGCUCUGCAUUUACUUCUUUUCCCAAUUUAUCUCUCUACCCAAGGCAACCCAUUCCCACUCCCACCAGUGGCCCAUGAAAUGGCACCUUCCUUCCCUGCAUCAUUGAAUUCUGGUGAUGGCUCCCUCCUCUAUGAAACUUCCCCUCUGUUGAAUCUGGCACAAUUGUCUUCAUCCUUCAUUUCUGGUAAUUUCCCCGCAUGCUUCAUCUCAGAUCUUUGUCCCCCCCCCCCAACCUCCAUCCUUUAAAUACUAAUGUUCCUGGUCAGGGUUUCUGUAGCUUUCUGUUCUUUGCUUUUUGCAAUGUAAACCAUUGGCUAGAAAUCAGCCAUCAGCUUACCAUCUCCAGCCCAAACCACUCUCCUGAACUCAACCACAGGUAGUGGGCGACCUGCUUUCUCCUCCUUGGGAUGGGUCCAUGGAACUUGAACUGUCUUCCUAUUUCUUUCUUAGUUUAUUUCCUCAGUGGCUUUCCCAAUAGCUUGACUGCUGUCUUCCUCCUCAACAUGCCCGUCCCUCAAUUUAACUGGUCCGCAGAGAGUGCAAAUGUGGUGAUCUGUUGGCUUCUGUGAGGUCCUUCAGUGAAGGUCCUCCUUCCCACGAGGCCUGCAAGGCUCCUCUGGAUCUGGGUCUUGCCUCUCCUCCUGCCUCUCUCUUGGGACUCUUCCAACUCUGGGCCCCAUGUUGUGGGAUGCCCUGAACUCCUUCAUGCCUCUAAGGUUUUAUAUGUGGAUCUUGCUUUCCAGAAUGGUCAAUUCUAUUUGCCUCACUUGGCUAACCCUUUGGGACUGUUCCAGCAAGAAGCAUACCAUCCCCCUUUAAGCCUCCACUGAGUUAUGUGCUGCCCCCGGCUCCCUACCCCAGGGUCCCUCUUCCAUGGCUUUUAUCCCACUUUUACAAUAACUGAGUUUUCUAGUUGGAUCACGAGAUACUUAGAGGCAGACUGGUGCCUUUUAUCCUUUGUUCCCAGCACUAAGCGCAGGUCCUGACGUAAAUUGGAUGCUUAAUAAAUUAACGUUACUAUUUCUAUUUUGAGUAUCAUAAAUACUAUUUUUUCAGCUGUAAGAUCACAAGGUCUCCAAAACAAUCAGGGUGAAGAAAAUAUGACAACCAUUUCCCAUAGAGAAAAUGGGAUUUCCUAUGGUGCAGUUCUCACCUACAGCAGUUUUUUGACUUCUGUCCGGAGAGAGACAAGCACGAGGGUGGUCCCUAGGUGUCUGCUGAUGCGGUAGAAACUUUAGAGUUAAUUAGAAGCUCUGGCUAAAGCUGGACUUCCUUUGCGGAGUUCCCGGGAGGAAACACAAAAUUAACAGUUCAAGGUUACUAUUAGAAAAAUGGCCUGUUUCCCUCAGGUUAUGCCUCAGGGAGCUCGUGCCUCUCUCUGCCAAGUCUAACAUGUUUCCACUUUCCUUUAGACAGGGUACAUUUGCUACCUUAAGAUGGGUCAUAGUCACAAUGGUGGAGGCUCUUGAGGUCAGGGGUCGCUUCUCUGUGUAUCUUCCAGCAGCAGGGGAUUCUGGGGUCUCACUUAGUACCCGGUAAAUUGAACACUGAGAAAAAUCUGCUCGGCAUCGCACAAGGAACAGGUGUGGUUUUGUAAGUUCUCAUCUUCCAUAAAGCAGAAAAAUAAAGCCGAAAGUGGCAUACGAUCAGUCAUCCAGACCUCCCUGGCAAUCCCCCCAAAAGUCUCGAGACCUUAUUAGGAAUUCCUAACUUUGGAAAUAUGAUCAUUUGCUGUAGUUAUAGUCUACAGAGUCACCACAGACAUUGAAUUAGUGAAUACUGAGCCACUGUUCCUAGGAGAACCAGAGGGUUAGUUCCUGUGAACUCCUGACACUUUCAAGUGAUCAAUACAUAGCCUUGAGUGUUUCUGGUUAAGAACACCUUAUUAAAUAUAUAUUGUUACCUCAUUAACAUUGAGCUCAUAGUCAACAGCACUCUAAUGCAUGCCUGAAUGAAGCUCUUGAAGCAUGUGUUUUCUUUGUGAGGUGUAUCUCAGCUUUCUUGCCCUUGGGGACACUAGAGAGCCUUAUGCUUUGGGGUGCAUUUUAAACAGUGACAUCAACAAUACAAAGCACACGAUGUGAAAAAACGUGGCCCUGUGGAAAGAACACUUGUUUACAGAAUGAGAAAUGAAACAAGAAGGCAGAGCAAGGCCUUAUUCGACCUCAGCUGGGAAUUGGGUGACUCAAACUUUUUACUUCUCUGCACAUGUCCAUGAAUAACCACGAGUGUGGCGAGCACUGAUUUGAAGUCACAGCUUAACUUCAGGGAGUAGGCAAAUUCACCAACAUAGAAUCUGUGAAUCCUGAGCAUUGACUGUACCACCAGAAAUAUAUUGAUUAAACAGUAGAGCUUUUGCUUAUUUCCAAAUAGAAUACAAUGACCUUGCUCAGAGGCCAAUUCUGACUUUGAAGCCUAUUCUUUAAUUUGUAAAGAACUUCUACUUUCUGGUGAGGGAUCAUCUUCACUUCCUUAGAAGUCUUUAUGUAACUGGCGCUCAAUAGAAGUUGUCUGAUGUUGGGGGUGGGGUGGUGCAUUUUUUUUCCUUCAAAACUGGUUUGUGGUGAUGAGAUGCAAAGGCUGGGAGAUCAAUUGGACCUCAUUGGAAACUGCGAGAAGCCUCCCAGCAUCUAUGAUUCAAAGGUGGACUCAGCAAAAUUAUAGACGACUUGUGUUAAGCACUUGCUGGACACAGAGGAGAUACUUGAUUGUCUUACAAAGUUAUUCUUUUGAGCUAAAUCUUUCUUUGAGUCACAUCUUCACUUAUAUUUCAUGUUGCAAGUAGCUGCUCAGAAAUUCAUUUGUGCUGUUUUCUUAUUGAUUCCCAUCGUGUUGUGAAGAAUGGAUGCAGAACUAAAGCGUGACACUACCCUUUCGUACAAACCAAAGGCGCUCUUCACGUGGGUCUCAGGAGUCAGGAAAGCGGGUAGGUUGGGAAUGUAGAGUGGACAGAGGGGCAGCAAUGACAGGAUUCAGACACUGAGGGUUCUAGAAAGAGGCUCGGAAAUUUAAUGUGUCUCCAUAGAAGUGUAAUCAGUUUAGUUCCAGCGGGACUGAAAUCUCUACUCUGUUGUUUAUUAAGGCCACAACCCCAACAAAGUCAGGCAACCUCUACAAAAACUGUUCCCUUUUCUGUGAAAUGAACCAUGGUAUCAACUUCUUGGAAAGACUGUGAGGAUUAAAUGAGAUAAUGAUGUCAAAUGCUUACAUAAUAUAUGUUUAAACUCCAGGAGAAUAUUCUAUGAAAAUGGCAGUUGGUAAUUAUUAGAAUUUUCCAGAUUCCUACCUAGCCAUCUGACUUCAGAGUCAUGCAUAUUUAGGAAAACUGGAAGUGAAGAGACCUGCUCCAGGUCAACUUCCUUAUUUUAUAGAGGAAAAAUUGGCUGUGCAGGAUUUGGCCUUUACAGCAUCACAGAGCCAGUCAGGGCAGGAUCCAGAGGACAGCCAAAGUCCUGAGCAUCUAGAUUUUUCUUCCAGAUCCUUCCCCAACUAUUAACUGUCUGCCACCUCCAGCCCUACCCUAGUAGCAUGGCAACUGUCACUCUGUGGGUCACCAUCAACUAUGGCAAAAAGUCUCUGUGCUAAGAGUGUCAGCCGAUUAGAACCUGACACAGAGUAGGACCCACUCUGAGUGUGACUUCUUCAUAUUUCCUGGCUCUACAUAUACGUAGCCACGAGCCAAUACUUUUCACAGCAUAUGAAAGCCAGAAGGAUCACAAAGGCCACAGAAGGAAUGCUCUUUUUUUAAAAAAGGGAUCAAUUAUUUUUGCAGUUCUCUGUGGCAGUUUGUAAGAUGCUUCCCUGGAAAAGCCACUGGAUAUAUAAGCUCCAAAGCUUAUAAGUGAUCAUGCCAUAUUGGGACAAGAGACCAUGCUGUACAAAGUGGAUGAAGCUGGUGAUUUUCCACCAAGCCUGUCUCACUGAGUGGAGUACGGGCUUAAAGUGGGCUGUCCCAAGACGCCAGGGAUGUUUUCAUCAGGUUGGAGGUUUAUGUG